AGGCUAUUGAUCUUGGCUCAGGAUGAACGCUGGCGGCGUGCCUAACACAUGCAAGUCGAGCGGUCCAGCACUCAAUUUCGGUUGAGUGCUGGAUAGCGGCGGACGGGUGAGUAACGCGUGGGUAACCAACCUUGAUCAGGGGGACAACAUUGGGAAACCAGUGCUAAUACCGCAUAGCUCUACACUGCGGCAUCGCAGAGUAGAGAAAGAUUUAUCGGAUCAAGACGGACCUGCGUCUGAUUAGCUAGUUGGCGGGGUAAAGGCCCACCAAGGCGAUGAUCAGUAGCCGACCUGAGAGGGUGACCGGCCACACUGGAACUGAGACACGGUCCAGACUCCUACGGGAGGCAGCAGUGGGGAAUAUUGCACAAUGGGGGGAACCCUGAUGCAGCAACGCCGCGUGAGCGAAGAAGGCCUUCGGGUCGUAAAGCUCUGUCCUAUGGGAAGAAGAAGUGACGGUACCAUAGGAGGAAGCCCCGGCUA
rnacentral:rRNA from 1 species